ACACAUGCAAGUCGAGCGGAAAGGCCCUUUCGGGGGUACUCGAGCGGCGAACGGGUGAGUAACACGUGAGUAAUCUGCCCUGCGCUCUGGGAUAGCCACCGGAAACGGUGAUUAAUACCGGAUAGGACCACUUCACGCAUGUGAUGGUGGUGGAAAGUUUUUUCGGCGCAGGAUGUGCUCGCGGCCUAUCAGCUUGUUGGUGAGGUAACGGCUCACCAAGGCUUUGACGGGUAACCGGCCUGAGAGGGUGACCGGUCACACUGGGACUGAGACACGGCCCAGACUCCUACGGGAGGCAGCAGUGGGGAAUAUUGGACAAUGGGCGGAAGCCUGAUCCAGCAACGCCGCGUGAGGGAUGACGGCCUUCGGGUUGUAAACCUCUUUCAGUACCGACGAAGCGAAAGUGACGGUAGGUACAGAAGAAGGACCGGCCAACUACGUGCCAGCAGCCGCGGUAAUACGUAGGGUCCGAGCGUUGUCCGGAAUUAUUGGGCGUAAAGGGCUCGUAGGCGGUUUGUCGCGUCGGGAGUGAAAACACCGGGCUUAACUCGGUGCUUGCUUUCAAUACGGGCAGACUAGAGGUAUGCAGGGGAGAAUGGAAUUCCUGGUGUAGCGGUGAAAUGCGCAGAUAUCAGGAGGACACCGGUGGCGAAGCGGUUCUCUGGGCAUUACCUG
rnacentral:rRNA from 1 species